rnacentral:lncRNA from 1 species
UGUUGUGGUGAUCACCGCAGCCGUGGUCUAGUGGUUAGGGCGUCCACCUCGGCUGCGGGAGGUGGUUCGUUCGAAACCCGCCGCCGGAGACCCAACCGGUUAUAAAAUGGGUACAGACGUGACCCUGGCCUGGCGCCCGGCUUUCUUUCUGGGGUGUGCGUCUGGGGGAGGCCUCGCAAACCCCGCCCUUGGGCUAUUCCUGUAGCUCAAUAGUUUCGAACUGUUCUAGCCUGAAAAGGUGGUCCUCGAUACGUCGUGAUACUGUCACGUGGUUCACAGGUUUUCACAGGUUGCUUCUGUGGUUCCCGCAGUUUAUUCUGUGGUGGUCCCACCUUCGGGUGGUUGUACGUUCGUGCCCUCGCCUCGUCGAGCGCCUUGAGUCAAAGGAUUUCAAGAAAUCCUGACCUUAUCGUUGCUGUCCCGGCAUAGUACAAUGCAGUUCCUCUGCUGCGUCUGUCUGACAGGUAAAACAGAAAAAAAAAAAAAAAAAGGGUGUGGCCGUAACUGUCGCGGGGGUUGCGGUCAGUAUCGCCCGCGAGGCUUCUUUUGCAUAAAAAGAAAGGCAGACUUGUUUUUUACCAAUAAGGUUUGAAACAUAAAACAAAGCAGAAAAAAUAAAAAAAUGGGUGUGGCCGUGACAGUGGCGGGGGUUGCGGUCAAUUCGCCCGCGAGGCUUCUUUUU